CUUUUCUUGUAUCAAUUAUUCUAAUAAAAUAAGAAAAGCAUUAAGGCUUUUGUGAAGCUACAUCUUCAUGAAGUGUUGUCUGCUGACAGGAGUUACUGGAAGACUCAUCAAAAUAGGGACUAAUUGCAUACCAACUCUGUCAUGAUGUCUUGGAGUUGAAGGUUUAAUAUGUUUUGAAGCAUCACAGAAAAGUUCUUCCUCUCACCCCAACUUCUUCAGAAUCCAACUGAAGGCUGGAAAGUGAAAAUUUGUUC
rnacentral:lncRNA from 1 species